ensembl:lncRNA
CAGAUUCGGAUAUAGCAAAGUCGUUCACUUGUGGCAAGGACAAAACUGGAUACAUCAUACGAUUCGGGUUAGCACCACACUUCAAGCAGGAGCUCAUCAACACCAUCAACAAGGCUGGCCAGUUUGUGUUAAUGUUUGACGAGUCGUUCAACCAGUCAACAAAAACAAAACAGCUUGAUGUCCACAUUCGAUUAGGGGAAGAUGACCGUGUCCAAUAUAGGUACCUUGGCUCUCAAUUCUUGGGACACGGAAAAGCUGUCGACCUGUUGCAUCACAUCAAAGAGCAGAUGGAGCAAGAUGUUGAGGAGGGCACAGAAGAACCAGCACCUGAAUAAAUUAGACUUUUUUUAUUAGCAGUACCAACUUUAGUGUGGUAGGAUACUUUAGGUAUUGUUUAAAUAAAUUGCUCAAGCUGUACCAACAAGUUCAAUGAUUCAAGUCUUUAUUCACUGAGGUCAGGCGAAGUUCCAAUACAUUGUAAACCAAACCAUACAUGCAGAGGACUCCAAAUCAGUAGCUAUAGUUUAACACCCUUUCUCAUACCAUUUCUAGACAUUUGUUAUAACAUGAUUGGUUCAAAAUAUUUUGUAUACUCUGAUGAUUGUGACACCAAAAGAGAAAAAGAUUAGGAACAGAAUUUCCAUUAUCGCAGUACUACCUUUUAGUAUGUUAAGCAUUUAGCAUUUUUCUCUGCUUAUUUCUAAGAUUUGUUUUAGGUCUACAAUUAAAGUAUAUUUUAACAUGUAAAGAUAUAUACAUGUAAAGACAGAUGUGGCUUGUAAUAUAAAGACUGAGUUUCAGAUGUUUUGUUUCAUUAACUUAAAAACCAAUCUUCAUGUAAUUAUAAUGUUCUGAAAACCUUAAUGAGAGCCUUAAUACAGUUUUGAUUUGUUGUAUAUAUGUUGAUAUAUAUUUUUUAUUUACCAAAUUGGUCAGUUUAAUUGGCUUUCCAUUGAGAGGAUCACUUGUGUUGUUUUGCACCAGAAGUACCAGUAACUUUUCAAAUCCUGAACAGGCUGUGACAUUCAGUACCUGUGUAAAACCUUAAAGGAAUGUUACAAAUGUCUGUUAUGUUUCUUGUACUUAAUGAAAAUUUUAUUUUAGGUCAUCCUCAUAACGUUACUUACAGUACCAAUUGGGGACGUAAUCGUGUGUAUGUUCAGGCAACUAUAAUAACGUUACUAAAUAACGUCAUUAGGCCUUUCAGAGGCCCCCACAUUUCUGCGUCCUGACUAGACUUGGUAUGUAACUUUCAUCAGCUGACACCACAGGUACAUACCGAUGAUGUUUCAAAAGUACGUAACCAUGACUUGGUGGAGACUACAAAACCGUUGAGGUCACAUUCUGGAACGUAAUUUUGUUAGCUGGGUAGCUUGCUGCACAACAUGAAAAGAAGAAAUUCAGCAACUCACCUGUCCCCUCCUACUUACCACACCUCAGACUCCAUUUCCUUGAACUGGAAACCGAAAGUUAAAGCAAACUACGAGUAGUCGGAUAAUGAUCAGUCUUAUUUAAUGUACACGGACCAACAUCACUAUUUCUAUAACACCAAUUGUCAAUGUAAGUAGAUACAGCAUAUCUGCAUUUCCAGGUUCAAUGUGCUUUAUUGUAGCAGUAGCCUUUGGUUACACUGAUUUGACUUAAUCAACAAAUAAUUCCAUAGCUGUAUGUUCUGUUGGCAGUGUUUCACAAGAAAAAGUGUUUCUGUCUUUAUUGAAGUUGUUGAGAGCAUGGCUUAAUCCUUCAUUGAAGUUAAUUCUAUUUUUGUCUGCCUCAUUAUGUCUGCCACUCAUUCUUCCUGCUGAAAGGCAUGCUCAAAAACCCU